rnacentral:rRNA from 1 species
ACGGAAGGCAGCAGUGGGGAAUAUUGGGCAAUGGGGGAAACCCUGACCCAGCAACGCCGCGUGAAGGAAGAAGGCCUUCGGGUUGUAAACUUCUUUUACCAGGGACGAUAAUGACGGUACCUGGAGAAAAAGCAACGGCUAACUACGUGCCAGCAGCCGCGGUAAUACGUAGGUUGCAAGCGUUGUCCGGGUUUACUGGGUGUAAAGGGCGUGUAGGCGGAGCUGCAAGUCAGAUGUGAAAUCCCGGGGCUCAACCCCGGAACUGCAUUUGAAACUGUAGCCCUUGAGUAUCGGAGAGGCAAGCGGAAUUCCUAGUGUAGCGGUGAAAUGCGUAGAUAUUAGGAAGAACACCGGUGGCGAAGGCGGCUUUCUGGACUGUAACUGACACUGAGGCACGAAAGCGUGGGGAGCAAACAGGAUUAGAUACCCUGGUA